AUUGAACGCUGGCGGCAGGCCUAACACAUGCAAGUCGAGCGAGCGGCGGACGGGUGAGUAAUGUAUGGGGACUGCCCGAUAGAGGGGGAUAACUACUGGAAACGGUGGCUAAUACCGCAUACUAUCGGAUGACUCAGAUGGGAUUAGCUAGUAGGUGGGGUAAAGGCUCACCUAGGCGACGCUCUCUAGCUGGUCUGCGAGGAUGGUCAGCCACACGGGGACUGGGAAACGGACCAGACGCCUACGGAGGCAACAGUGGGGAAUAUUGCACAAUGGGCGCAAGCCGGAUGCAGCCAUGACGGGUGUAUGAAGAAGGGCUUAGGGUUGUAAAGUACUUUCAGCGAGGAAGCGUUCCCCGAACAAGAAACACCGGCUAACUCCGUGCCAGCAGCCGCGGUAAUAC
rnacentral:rRNA from 1 species